rnacentral:rRNA from 1 species
AUGAAUAACACCCAGUUCUCCCUCAUGUCCUGGAAUGUCAGAGGCCUGAAUUCGCCUGCGAGGAGAGAUGCAGUCUGUGAACUGGCUACCUCUCACAAAACUCCAAUUCUUUGCCUACAAGAGACGAAGUUGGAAUCAUGGUCGCCCAGCAUUGUGCGUGAACUAGGAGGGAACAGGCUAGAUGGUUGUGCGGUCCUGCCGGCCGUAGGAACCAGAGGAGGCGCGACGAUCCUCUGGGAGAAGAGCGUCGUGCAGCUCGACACACAUGUUGUGGGCCGCUUCUCGACCACUGCUAAGGUGACCUUCUUG